GGGCGUUUAGCUCAGUGGUAGAGCGUCUCGUUUACACCGAGAAGGUCCAAGGUUCAAUCCCUUGAACGCCCACCA
rnacentral:tRNA from 1 species